rnacentral:rRNA from 1 species
AGAUUCGUCUCGUUGGUGACCAGCGGAGGGAUCAUUACUGAGUUUACGCUCUACAACCCUUUGUGAACAUACCUACAACUGUUGCUUCGGCGGGUAGGGUCUCCGCGACCCUCCCGGCCUCCCGCCUCCGGGCGGGUCGGCGCCCGCCGGAGGAUAACCAAACUCUGAUUCAACGACGUUUCUUCUGAGUGGUACAAGCAAAUAAUCAAAACUUUUAACAACGGAUCUCUUGGUUCUGGCAUCGAUGAAGAACGCAGCGAAAUGCGAUAAGUAAUGUGAAUUGCAGAAUUCAGUGAAUCAUCGAAUCUUUGAACGCACAUUGCGCCCGCCAGCAUUCUGGCGGGCAUGCCUGUUCGAGCGUCAUUUCAACCCUCAAGCUCUGCUUGGUGUUGGGGCCCUACAGCCGAUGUAGGCCCUCAAAGGUAGUGGCGGACCCUCCCGGAGCCUCCUUUGCGUAGUAACUUUACGUCUCGCACUGGGAUCCGGAGGGACUCUUGCCGUAAAACCCCCCAAUUUUCCAAAGGUUGACCUCGGAUCAGGUAGGAAUACCCGCUGAACUUAAGCAUAUCAAAGGCCCGGAGGAA